GACAGAGGGUGCAAACGUUGUCCGGAAUCAUUGGGCGUAAAGAGCGUGUAGGCGGUUCGAUAAGUCUGCUGUGAAAGUCCAGGGCUCAACCCUGGGAUGCCGGUGGAUACUGUCGGGCUAGAGUACGGAAGAGGCGAGUGGAAUUCCCGGUGUAGCGGUGAAAUGCGCAGAUAUCGGGAGGAACACCCGUGGCGAAGGCGGUUCUCUGGGACGGUACUGACGCUGAGACGCGAAAGCGUGGGGAGCGAACAGG
rnacentral:rRNA from 1 species